rnacentral:rRNA from 1 species
CAGUCGCCGCGGGAAUACGCAGGUGGCAAGCGUUGUCCGGAAUUAUUGGGCGUAAAGCGCGCGCAGGUGGUUUAAUAAGUCUGAUGUGAAAGCCCACGGCUCAACCGUGGAGGGUCAUUGGAAACUGUUAAACUUGAGUGCAGGAGAGAAAAGUGGAAUUCCUAGUGUAGCGGUGAAAUGCGUAGAGAUUAGGAGGAACACCAGUGGCGAAGGCGGCUUUUUGGACUGUAACUGACACUGAGGCGCGAAAGCGUGGGGAGCAAACAGGAUUAGAUACCCGCGUAGUCCCUGUCUCUUAUAC